CGGCAUGCAUUUUAGAAUAGAGGAGACUGGAAUUGACGAAGACGAUAGAAGAUGUUGGAAUCGAGAGAAGGGGAGAAGAGGUUUGUUUGAGUUCCGUUUGGGUCUUGAAAGGUUUAUCAUCGAAGGCUUCAAAUCUCCCUGCUUUUAGUAAUUUGAACCAAUUGAAACUGGUUCGUAAUAUUUCAGGCAGCGCUGCUCCACAGAACACCCAAUCUGGAAGGGUUUGUGAACAAUACAAAUCGUUAAGUGGAGCGCUUAGAGGGAAUCUGUCCUUUCAAAUUAAAGCUUUUUAAUGCUUUAAACCUUUUGAGAAUUCUUAAAUCAAAAGUUAAUUAAGACAGAAUCAUACUGGUAGCUUUUAAAGUAAUAUUUAUUGAUAAUGCACCAUUUAGUCUGUAUAUUUCCUUGGACAUGGGCAUAUUUCCUUUCUUUCCACUUGGACAUGCAUGUCUUCCCUUUUCCUUAAUCUCUUUCCUUUUCUUUUUUCUUUUUCUUUUUUGGAAGUUAACUGAUGAAAAGACUUGAUUCAUUCCAGACCCAAGUUGUGACUUUAGUGAGGUAUUUAGCACUAAAUUGUGCACUGAGAAAGCUUUACGUCAAUUUUUUUAAUUCUUGAAUCCAUGGCCUUCAUAAGAAGUUUUUCAACUGAUAGUACCGUACCUAAACUAAUCAUUGAUCUUCUGCUCUUUCCUUUUGGUUGUUGAUUGACAGAGACAGAGAGAGAAGAGUGCUAAUAAGGCUUCUGGCCAAGAAGAAGAGGAGGGCAGUAUGGCGCCGUUUCCUGAAAAGGUUCAAGUUGGAGGAUCACCACAAUAUAAGCUGAAAAGGAAGCUGGGCAAAAUGGCUUUGUACCCUGACCUGCACUACAAAUGAUACAGGCAUACAGCAAGUUCAAGUACUGCUGGUUUGAAAAUGCAAGUCAUGACGAUGAAACAGUGUCCAAGCUAACAGCUUUACACCUUUACGUUUAUAAGCAGCUAAAGGCCUGGACCAAUAUUAUUUGCUCUCUGGUCAUGCCGGGGGUGCAAUUUUAUUUUUCUCAAGGAAAGGUAAAGCUAUUUCUUUGUUUUUUUUUUUUUUUUUAAUUUUUAAUUUGGAGAGUUCUUUUGGAGUUUUGAUAUUGAGUUUCUUUUAUGUCGACCAAGAUGGUACAACCAACAAAACAAUCCCAUGUUGAGUGUCUGUUUAGAGUGGUUCUUUUUAAAAAUGCAUACAAAGUUGCAUAUGUCACCCAGAUGCAUGAUCAGUUGGUGUUGCUAGCAUAUAUAUAUAUAUAUAUAUAUAUAUAUAUAUUCUAUUGUCAUGGUUUUUCUGUUACCACCACUUCACACAAAGUUCAUAUCAAGCAAUAAACAUGUGAGAAACAAAUUAUGCAUACUGAAUAGGAACUAGAGUCGCAUAAGAAAACGUGGAGGUCAUAUGCAAACCAUAUGAAUAGUUUUUAAUUUUGACUUUAGUAACCUCUAUGUUCUUUAAAAGAAUGUAACUUUCAAGCUUAGCUAGGAGGACAAAAAAGUGGCCAGCUGAAAGUAAACCAUAUAUGAUAUAUUUUUACUUUAUGUUGUGGGGAAGAGUAAGCAAUUAGCAUAUAAAUUGGUACCUUUGGCUCCCUAAUUUCAUUUACAUCACUCUAUUAGCAUUCAAAACUAAUCAUUGAAAAUUAAUCAUUGAUCGUAAUAAUCUAUCUCUAUUAUGCUUUGGUUUGAGUGGCUGUGUUAUACCCAUUGCUAUGGAUGAGGGACUCGCACGGACUCACGUGGAUGAGGUCUUUGGACUUGUGUACAUCCGCCGUGCCACGUGAUGAUACGGCUGACCAAUAUGAGGGGGUAGGGUGGUUUUGGUAUUUGAUGAUGAAUGAGUAAGGACAAUUUCAAAACUUUCUUUUUAUGUGUUGGGUUUUGAUUGGCCGUCAUGCCACUCAAGUCAGUCAAGCAACACAGCGGAAGGUCUUCUCCACAAAAAGAGGCCAAUGUAAGAUUGGGCAAGUGUGUUGAAUUACUGAGUGGUCUGAUGGUCCGGUUCAAUUUACUGGGCUUAUGAUCUAGUAAUCAUACCAGAAGAGAUGGUAAUGAGGCGGAUUGGAAUCAUGCUUUACCAUUUCCUCUUAAUCAUGUUAAGUGUGAAUUCAUAUUCCAGUAGUACAUUGUCUUUCAAAAAUA